rnacentral:tRNA from 1 species
GCCUGGGUGGCUCAGUGGUUGAGCGUCUGGCUUUGGCUCAGGGCAUGAUCCUGGAGUCCUGGGAUCAAGUCCCACAUCAGGCU